UCAGUAACGGCGAGUGAAGCGGCAAGAGCUCAACUUUGGAAUCGCUCCGGCGAGUUGUAGUCUGGAGGUGGCCACCACGAGGUGUUCUAGCAGCAGGCAAGUCCUUUGGAACAAGGCGCCAGCGAGGGUGACAGCCCCGUACCUGCUUUUGCUAGUGCUUCCUGUGGCCCACCGACGAGUCGAGUUGUUUGGGAAUGCAGCUCUAAGUGGGUGGUAAAUUCCAUCUAAGGCUAAAUAUUGGCGAGAGACCGAUAGCGAACAAGUACAGUGAUGGAAAGAUGAAAAGCACUUUGAAAAGAGAGUGAAACAGUACGUGAAAUUGUUGAAAGGGAAGGGCUUGCACCCAGACACGGUUUCGGCCGGGCCAGCAUCAAGUAGAACGGGGUUAAAAGACCUGGGGAAUGUAGCUACCUCUUGGUAGUGUUAUAGCCCUUGGGUGAUGACCCCUGUUUUGCUUGAGGACAGCGGUCUCUAGGAUGC
rnacentral:rRNA from 1 species